rfam:Felis catus isolate Cinnamon breed Abyssinian chromosome B4, whole genome shotgun sequence.
GCCUGGGUGGCUCAGUCGGUUAAGCGUCCGACUUUGGCUCAGGUCAUGAACUCACAGUUUGUGAGUUCGAAUCUCCCAUCAGGCU